GGAGGAUGCGAGCGUUAUCCGGAUUUAUUGGGUUUAAAGGGAGCGUAGACGGGUUUUUAAGUCAGCUGUGAAAGUUUGGGGCUCAACCUUAAAAUUGCAGUUGAAACUGGAGACCUUGAGUACGGUUGAGGCAGGCGGAAUUCGUGGUGUAGCGGUGAAAUGCUUAGAUAUCACGAAGAACCCCGAUUGCGAAGGCAGCCUGCUAAGCCGCCACUGACGUUGAGGCUCGAAAGUGCGGGUAUCAAACAGGAUUAGAUACCCUGGUAGUCCGCACGGUAAACGAUGGAUACUCGCUGUUGGCGAUAGACGGUCAGCGGCCAAGCGAAAGCGUUAAGUAUCCCACCUGGGGAGUACGCCGGCAACGGUG
rnacentral:rRNA from 1 species